rfam:Triticum aestivum genome assembly, contig: Triticum_aestivum_CS42_TGACv1_scaffold_050937_1BS
AAAGUACUACCUCUGUCCCAAAAUUCUUGUCUUAGAUUUGUCUAGAUACGGAUGUAUCAAGUCACAUUUUAGUUUUAGAUACAUCCGUAUCUAGACAAAUCUAAGACAAGAAAUUUGGGACAGAGGGAGUAGUUG